CGCACAUUGCGCCCCUUGGCAUUCCGAAGGGCAUGCCUGUUCGAGCGUCAUUAUCAACCCUCAAGCUUGGCUUGUUGUUGGGCUUGUCUGUAAAAAGACAUGCCUAAAAGACAAUGACGGCGUUUUCAGGACCCCCGAUACACUGAGCUUUUUAAAAGGCACGUAUUGUGGUGGAUUUGAAAACUCGGCCUUGAUUUUAUUUUCUAAAGGUUGACCUCGGAUCAGGUAGGAUUACCCGCUGAACUUAA
rnacentral:misc_RNA from 1 species